rnacentral:lncRNA from 1 species
CAGAGAAGGACUGGUGGGAGAUGUGGUGGUUAGAAGCUGUCUUGGGCAGAGUAACCACGAAAUGGUAGAGUUCUCUAUUCUUGGUGAAGUCAGGACGGGAACCAGUAAAACCGCUGUCUUGGACUUCCGGAAGGCAUACUUCGAGCAGUUCAGGACACUGGUUGGCAGAGUCCCUUGGGAGGCAGUUCUGAAGGGCAGAGGAGUACAGGAAGGCUGGGCACUCCUCAAGAAGGAAAUCUUAAUGGCUCAGGAGCGAUCUGUCCCCACGUGCCAAAAGCCGGGGUGGAAGAAGACCGGCCUGGCUGAACAGAGAGCUUGUGUCUAGAGCUUAGGAAAACAAAACAAAAAAAAAAAGUUUAUGAUCCUUGGAAAAGAGGGCAGGCCACUCAGAAGGAUUGUAAGGAUGUGUAGGGACAAAAUUAGAAAGGCCAAAGCUCAUCUGGAGCUCAGUCUGGCUACUGCUGUUAAAGAUGACAGAAAAUGUUUUUAUAACUACAUUAACAUGAAAAGGAGAACUAAGGAGAAUCUCCAUAUUUUACUGGAUGCAGGGGGAAACUUAGUGAUGAGAGAUGAGGAAAAGGCUGAGGAGCUUAAUGCCUUCUUUGCCUCAGUCUUUAGGAGCAAGACCAGUUGUUCUGUUGUUCUGAUUGUGGCCCUCACAAUCCACACGGAAAUGGUUGGCGAGCUGCUACAGCACUUAGAUGUACUCAAGUUGAUGGGGCCGGAUGGGAUCCACCCAAGGGUACUGAGAGAACUGGCGGAAGAGCUGGCCAAGCUGCUUUCCAUCAUUUAUCGGCAGUCCUGGCUAUCAGGGGAGGUCCCAGUUGACUGGUGGCUGGCAAACGUGACGCCAAUCUACAAGGGCUGGAAGGUAGACCCAGGAAACUAUAGGCCUGUUAGUUUGACCUCAGUGCCAGAGAAGCUCAUGGAGCAGAUUAUCUUGAGUGUCAUCACACGGCAUUUGCAGGGCAACCAGGCGAUCAGGCCCAGUCAGCAUGGAUUUAUGAAAGGCAGGUCCUGCUUGACGAACCUGAUCUCCUUUUAUGACAAAGUGACAUGCUUAGUGGAUGAGGGAAAGGCUGUGGAUGUGGUCUACCUUGACUUCAGUAAGGCCUUUGACACUGUUUCCCACAGCAUUCUCUUCAAGAAACUGGCUUCUCUUGGCUUGGACUGGUAUACGCUUUGUUGGGUUAGAAACUGGCUGGGUAGCCACGCCCGAAGAGUCGUGGUGAAUAGAGUUAAAUCCAGUUGGAGGCCGGUCACUAGUGGAGUCCCCCAGGGCUCAGUACUGGGGCCAGUNNNNNNNN